AUUGAACGCUGGCGGCAGGCUUAACACAUGCAAGUCGAACGAGAUCUUCGGAUCUAGUGGCAGACGGGUGAGGAACACGUGGGAACAUCCCUUUCAGUUCGGAAUAACGUUGGGAAACUAACGCUAAUACCGGAUACGUCCUUCGGGAGAAAGAUUUAUCGCUGAAAGAUUGGCCCGCGUCUGAUUAGCUAGUUGGUGAGGUAACGGCUCACCAAGGCUACGAUCAGUAGCUGAUCUGAGAGGAUGAUCAGCCACAUUGGGACUGAGACACGGCCCAAACUCCUACGGGAGGCAGCAGUGGGGAAUAUUGGACAAUGGGCGCAAGCCUGAUCCAGCCAUGCCGCGUGAGUGAUGACGGCCUUCGGGUUGUAAAGCUCUUUUGUCCGGGAAGAUAAUGACUGUACCGGAAGAAUAAGCUCCGGCAAACCUCGUGCCAGCAGCCGCCGUAACAC
rnacentral:rRNA from 1 species